rnacentral:lncRNA from 1 species
GUAGUCUCGGUCUGAGCAACAUAAGCAUUUUUUGGUGAUCGACCAUGUAAAGAAUGGCACACGUCACGAGUGUGACCAAGUUUAUAACAAUAAGAACACUUGGGUCUAGAUCUACCAAAACGACCUCCUCCUCGUCUAUUCUCCAUAGUAUGAGAUGCCCGAUUGUCCACUGAUUGGGAUACGAGGAUAGAUGAAUCAAGUGUCUG